rnacentral:rRNA from 1 species
UACGUAGGGUGCGAGCGUUGUCCGGAAUUAUUGGGCGUAAAGGGCUCGUAGGCGGUUUGUCGCGUCGGGAGUGAAAACCAGGUGCUUAACACCUGGCUUGCUUUCGAUACGGGCAGACUAGAGGUAUUCAGGGGAGAACGGAAUUCCUGGUGUAGCGGUGAAAUGACGUAGAUAUCUGGAGGAACACCGGUGGCGAAGGCGGCAUCCUGGACCAACACUGACGCUGAGGAGCGAAAGCCAGGGGAGCAAAGCGGG